GGGCCGGUCUCAGAGCCACCACAGUCCCCGCCGCCCGCCAGCCCCCGGGCGCUCUCAGAGGCCAUCGGCCCAGCGCUGCCUUGGGCAGCCGGGGCAAGGCACCUGCUGAGCGGCCCGCAGGGGCCAGGCAGACGCGAACGUCUGAUCCACCAACGGGAGACCCUCUCUCUCAAUGACAUCACUUCCCCUACAAGCCGGAACAAUGACUCCGUGAUGGAAUUGAGUAGAAAUAAGCAUUCAACAUCAGAACUUCUCCUGAGUCACCUCAUAGACCAGUCCUGAGAUAAAAAGCAACCAGACCAUGAUUUUGCCAAUACUCCCUACUCUUGCAGCUAUGCAACUCCAGCCCCAUCAAGUGGCGGAAUCAUGCUUUUGCCCUCAGUUCAAAGACGUGGAGGAAAUUUUAGCAAAAAGAUUAAGAAUUGUAGAGUGCUUAGUAGAGACUCUGGGAAGGAAUAAAGUAACAAAUUGGGCCAUCAUCAUCAUCAUCAUCAUCACCAUCACCAUCAUCACCAUCACCAUCAUCAUCAUCACCAUCACCAUCAUCAUCAUCAUCAAUCAUCAUCACCAUCACCAUCAUCAUCAUCAUCACCAUCACCAUCAUCAUCAUCACCAUCAUCAUCAUCAUCACCAUCACCAUCAUCAUCAUCAUCAUCACCAUCAUUUGGUACCAGGGAUUGAACUUGGCUCCUUGUGCUUGCCAGGCAGGCAGUGGAAACACUGAGCUAAAUCCCAGCCCCACAGUAACUGAAAUUGGAAUCAGAGAAGAAUGAACAAUCAAAGAGUAAGAAUGAUUGGAGUUUGCACAUUUCUUUGAAUCUAGGACCGAGAG
rnacentral:lncRNA from 1 species